rnacentral:rRNA from 1 species
GUGCCAGAGCCGCGGUAACACGGGGGACGCAAGCGUUAUUCGGAAUUAUUGGGCGUAAAGGGCGUGUAGGCGGUCUUAUCGGUCAGAUGUGAAAGCCCAGGGCUCAACCCUGGACGUGCAUUUGAAACAGUAAGACUUGAGUACUGGAGAGGAAAGCGGAAUUCCUGGUGUAGAGGUGAAAUUCGUAGAUAUCAGGAGGAACACCGAUGGCGAAGGCAGCUUUCUGGACAGAAACUGACGCUGAUGCGCGAAGGCGUGGGUAGCGAACAGGAUUAGAUACCCUGGUAGUCCACGCAGUAAACGAUGUACACUAGGUGUAGGGGAUAUUAAAAUUUUCUGUGCCGCAGUUAACACAUUAAGUGUACCGCCUGGGGAGUACGGUCGCAAGACUAAAACUCAAAGGAAUUGACGGGGACCCGCACAAGCGGUGGAACAUGUGGUUUAAUUCGAUGCAACGCGAAGAACCUUACCUGGGUUUGACAUCCUGUGAACGUGUAAGAGAUUAGACAGUGCCUUCGGGAGCACAGAGACAGGUGCUGCAUGGCUGUCGUCAGCUC